rnacentral:ncRNA from 1 species
CAGCGUCUGCUGCAUGACCGUCAUGGCGAUCAUGCCCGUACGCCUUUUGAAUCUGGUCGCGCCGCUGGCUCACAAGGCCACCGUCAGGCACGCCAGGGAUACCACCAGCCACGGCUGGCACUGGUCCCGUGCAGCCUCCAGGGUGAUCGAUCUCCAUCUUCGCCCUGGCGGUGUGAAUAGCGCGAUACGACG